rfam:Populus trichocarpa scaffold_49_contig_6, whole genome shotgun sequence.
UCUAGAACUCAAGAUAUGGGCUGAACACUGAACAGUGUUUAGGCUGCAAGACAGAUUCAAACUUCUUCGUUGUUGAUAUAAUUUGCACUUGAAAACGGCUUUUUUAAAUCUUGGGCUCCACAUGAAAGUUGUAGGCCCAUUUCUUACCUUUCCAUC